UACGAAGGGGGCUAGCGUUGUUCGGAUUUACUGGGCGUAAAGCGCACGUAGGCGGUUUGUUAAGUCAGAGGUGAAAUCCCGGAGCUCAACUCCGGAACUGCCUUUGAUACUGGCAAGCUAGAGUCCGGAAGAGGUAAGUGGUACUCCUAGUGUAGAGGUGGAAUUCGUAGAUAUUAGGAAGAACACCAGUGGCGAAGGCGGCUUACUGGUCCGGAACUGACGCUGAGGUGCGAAAGCGUGGGGAGCAAAC
rnacentral:rRNA from 1 species